GUGGGUGUAGCUCAGUUGGUUAGAGCACCAGAUUGUGGUCCUGGGGGUCGUGGGUUCAAGCCCCAUCACCCACCCCA
rnacentral:tRNA from 12 species